GAGCGGACCAAACGGAGCUUGCUCUGAUUUGGUCAGCGGCGGACGGGUGAGUAACACGUGGGCAACCUGCCCGCAAGACCGGGAUAACUCCGGGAAACCGGAGCUAAUACCGGAUAACACCGAAGACCGCAUGGUCUUUGGUUGAAAGGCGGCUUUGGCUGUCACUUGCGGAUGGGCCCGCGGCGCAUUAGCUAGUUGGUGAGGUAACGGCUCACCAAGGCGACGAUGCGUAGCCGGCCUGAGAGGGUGACCGGCCACACUGGGACUGAGACACGGCCCAG
rnacentral:rRNA from 1 species